GGGUGGGAUGAUGAACUAUUGUUUCCCUAUUGGUUUGACAGCCGCUAUGAUGGCAUUUUAUUGCUUCAAACUUUCUGACUACCC
rfam:Physcomitrella patens subsp. patens PHYPAscaffold_38 genomic scaffold, whole genome shotgun sequence.